rnacentral:rRNA from 1 species
CAGUCGCCGCGGUAAUACGGAGGGUGCAAGCGUUAAUCGGAAUUACUGGGCGUAAAGCGCACGCAGGCGGUUUGUUAAGUCAGAUGUGAAAUCCCCGAGCUUAACUUGGGAACUGCAUUUGAAACUGGCAAGCUAGAGUCUUGUAGAGGGGGGUAGAAUUCCAGGUGUAGCGGUGAAAUGCGUAGAGAUCAGGAGGAAUACCGGUGGCGAAGGCGGCCCCCUGGACAAAGACUGACGCUCAGGUGCGAAAGCGUGGGGAGCAAACAGGAUUAGAUACCCGAGUAGUCCCUGUCUCUUAUAU